UUUUUUGUUUUAGGUUUGUUACAUUCUUUAACUGAAGUUUGUAAAAUAAUAAAAAUAAGGCUCGCCCGACUAAUAAAAGUCAAACCGAGCCAAAUUGUAAUGCACAGUGUUAGAAGUGGAGGUCGAGCCUUCGUAAAGAAGCACUCAAAUUCACUAAUGAUCCUUCCGCAGGUUCACCUACGGAAA
rnacentral:misc_RNA from 1 species